CUUAUGAUGAAAUGUAUUGGUCCGUGUUGCUGAUUUACAGUGAUUUUAAAAUAACCAUAUCUGAAAUUA